rnacentral:rRNA from 1 species
GACGUAGGAGGCGAGCGUUGUCCGGAUUCAUUGGGCGUAAAGAGCACGCAGGCGGUUUGGCAAGUCGGAUGUGAAAACCCGGAGCUCAACUCCGGGCGUGCAUCCGAUACUGCCCGACUAGAGGUAGGUAGGGGAGAUCGGAAUUCCUGGUGUAGCGGUGAAAUGCGCAGAUAUCAGGAGGAACACCGAUGGCGAAGGCAGCUCACUGGCCGUUAUCUGACGCUGAGGCGCGAAAGCGUGGGUAGCAAACAGG